UAAAUUAUCAAAGUCACCUUGAAUUUAUUGGGGUGGUUUUGGAAGUGGGAGAUGCAGGUCUUUGUAGUAUGUAUGGGACCAGCUAUCCUGAAAUAUAUUAGCAGAGUCAAGUGGAGCUUUCACUGGUGUAAUAAGAAUAAAUAUUGUCACCGAAAAAAGAGAAAGCGACAUGUGUUGAAGUCUGCUGCUUGUCGUCCGUGUGUGGACAAGUUGAUUA
rnacentral:misc_RNA from 1 species